AUGAGGUUAAAGCUGUUCCAGUUGCUCAAGCAGAAAAAUAGCUCUUUUUUAUAAUAGAAAAUUCAAUUUUACAAAUUAUGUAAUUUUAUUUAACAAUAUAAUUAAAAAUCAUUCUUUUGUAUAAUUACACUUCUCUACAAAAUUUAAAAAAAAACUAUUCAUUCAUAAAAUGAAUACCAUUCAAAUUAGCACAUUUAUAGGAGAUAUAUUUGAAAUUAAUCAAGAUCCGCGUACAAAAAGAUUAAUUAAUACGAAUAACAACUCGAUCUAAUUAAGGAAAAAAUAAUUUUACGGCAUUCUCUAUUGGCUGUUGGACAUCAGCUACUGAGUGUAUAUAAAAAUAGUUCUAUCGAAUGUAAACACAGCGUGAAAGAAGUUUCAGAUGAACCAGUCAAAUGAUUGAUAAGGAAACUCAAAGUUUGCUCAUUAAUUAUUUUAUUUUAAUUGUUCUUCUUUUAAUUCUUUGGAUACUUUAUACAGAGGAAAUUUAAAAAGUAAAUACAAUAUGAAAGAAGAUGAACAAACCAUUUUUAUGAAAGGGAGGAAGGAGUAAGAAGCGUCAGAAACGUAAAUAGAUUUGGAUAUGAGCUUUAGUUUCAGUCGAAACGUAAAAUGGAUGCAGACAAGGAAGCGAAAAGUUUAAUUGUCAAUUAUGUGGUAUUGAUUGUAUUACUAUUGGUACUAUGGGUUCUUUAUAUGGGAAAAAAAACAUAUCAAGUUCAUUUGAAGUCAGAUGAAAAUAUGGAACAAUUUACACCCAGCGCUUUAUUCAUCAAUAAUUUAAGAGUUUCAUACGUUCGUUAAUGAAAUAUUUAUAUAUAUCUAUCAUGACACAUUAUUUAAAAUUUGAAUCUGGAUAACAUUGUAGUAAUUUCUCUAAUUUUAAAUGUCAAAAUAGCUUCUUUCAGAAAAAACAUUUAUAAAUUUUUUAUGUUUAAAACUCUUUUGUAUUAAAUAAAUUCUAAUAAGAAUGAUCAAAUAAAUAAUAAAAAUUACAAUUUUUGUAUUUAUGAAAUGAUUAUGAAGGAUUUCUUAAAUGCGAUCAUAAGUAUAAUGUUAACUGAUCAUAUACCUAUUAAAUAAAACAUGUGGCUGUACAUUAAUUAAAAGGUACAGUUGUAAAAAAUGGUUAGUGCCAUUUCCAUUAGUACGUUAAAAUGCAUGCUA